rnacentral:pre_miRNA from 1 species
GUAGUAUUCCCUCCGUCCCAAAAUUCUUGUCUUACAUUUGUUUAGAUAUGGAUGUAUCUAACACUAAAAUGUAACUAGAUGCAUCCGUAUUUAGACAAAUUUAAGACAAGAAUUUUGGGAUGGAGGGAGUAUAAA